GUGCAGCAGGCGCGAAUCUUUAGCAAUGCCCGAAAGGGUGACUAUGCGACGCCGCGUGAGCGAUGAAGUCCUUCGGGACGUAAAGCUCUGUCAGGUGGGAUGAAUUUUUCGACCUUAACAGGGUUGGAAUUUGACCGUACCACCAGAGGAAGCCACGGCUAACUCCGUGCCAGCAGCCGCGGUAAUACGGAGGUGGCAAGCGUUGUUCGGAUUUAUUGGGUGUAAAGGGCAUGUAGGUGUCCUAGUAAGUCCUGGCCGAAAUCCUUCGGCUCAACCGAAGAACGUGUCAGGAAACUGCUGGGGAUUGAGUACGGAAGAGGAGAACGGAAUUCCCGGUGUAAGGGUGAAAUCUGUAGAUAUCGGGAGGAACACCAGUGG
rnacentral:rRNA from 1 species